rnacentral:rRNA from 1 species
UACGGAGGAUCCAAGCGUUAUCCGGAUUUAUUGGGUUUAAAGGGUGCGUAGGCGGUUUGAUAAGUUAGAGGUGAAAUACCGGUGCUUAACACCGGAACUGCCUCUAAUACUGUUGGACUAGAGAGUAGUUGCGGUAGGCGGAAUGUAUGGUGUAGCGGUGAAAUGCUUAGAGAUCAUACAGAACACCGAUUGCGAAGGCAGCUUACCAAACUAUAUCUGACGUUGAGGCACGAAAGCGUGGGGAGCAAACAGG